AGCUCCAAUAGCGUAUAUUUUAGUUGUUGCAGUUAAAAAGCUCGUAGUUGAAUUUCUGGUGGGAGAAUGCGGUCUUUCCUUCUUGGUUAGCACUUGCACUCUCCGGCCAUCCUUGGGUGGAGCCUGUCUGGCAUUCAGUUGUCGGGCUGGGGAUGCCCAUCGUUUACUGUGAAAAAAUUAGAGUGUUCAAAGCAGACUUAUGUCGUUGAAUAUAUUAGCAUGGAAUAAUGAGAUAGGACAGCAGUGCUAUUUUGUUGGUUUGCGCACCGUUGUAAUGAUGAAUAGGGACAGUUGUGGGUAUUCGUAUUCACUUGUAAGAGGUGAAAUUCUUAGAUUAAGGGAAGACGAACUACUGCGAAAGCAUUUACCAAGGAUGUUUUCAUUA
rnacentral:rRNA from 1 species